UUCGGGAUGCCGGCGAGUGGCGAACGGGUGAGUAAUACGUGGAAACCUAUCCCGAGGUGGGGGAUAACAGCUGGAAACGGCUGCUAAUACCGCAUAAGCCCUAAGGGGGAAAGAUUUAUCGCCUUGGGAGGGGUCCACGUCGGAUUAGCUAGUUGGUAGGGUAAAGGCCUACCAAGGCGACGAUCCGUAGCUGGUCUGAGAGGAUGGACAGCCACACUGGGACUGAGACACGGCCCAGACUCCUACGGGAGGCAGCAGUGGGGAAUAUUGCGCAAUGGGGGAAACCCUGACGCAGCGAUGCCGCGUGGGUGAAGAAGGCCUUCGGGUUGUAAAGCCCUUUCAGUGGGGAAGAUAGUGACGGUACCCACAGAAGAAGCUCCGGCUAACUCCGUGCCAGCAGCCGUGGUAAUACGGAGGGGGCGAGCGUUGUUCGGAAUUACUGGGCGUAAAGGGCGCGUAGGCGGUGCAGCAAG
rnacentral:rRNA from 1 species